AGAGUUUGAUUCUGGCUCAGAACGAACGCUGGCGGCGUGCCUAACACAUGCAAGUCGAACGCGAAAGUCCUUCGGGAUGAGUAAAGUGGCGCACGGGUGAGUAACACGUAGGUGACCUGCCUUUUAGAGGGGAAUAACCAGAAGAAAUUUUGGCUAAUGCCGCAUACGAAGUACAGAUCUAAGAGUAGUACUUGAAAGGAUGCCUCUGUAUAUGCAUUCACUAAAAGAUGGGCCUGCGGAACAUUAGCUAGUUGGUGGGGUAAAGGCCUACCAAGGCAACGAUGUUUAUCCGGUCUGAGAGGAUGAUCGGACACACUGGAACUGAGACACGGUCCAGACUCCUACG
rnacentral:rRNA from 1 species